rnacentral:rRNA from 1 species
CUCCACCACCUCCUCGUUGCGUGCGUUUUCUCGCGCAUCAUUUGGCAUGACAUCUUGUCCUGGUGCUGCUUGCCCGCAAUGCCGCCCGAUGGCAACACCGACUUCUUCGAAUGGUGGACGGCGACAAAAACUAAUGUGCCGGCAAGCGUCCGCAAGGCUCUCAACUCCCUAACCAUCCUCACUUCAUGGGCCAUAUGGAAGUACCGCAACGCAAUCCUCUUCGACAAUCCAACACCCUCCCUAGGCAACCUUCUAGACGACAUCAAACAGGAGGCGAAACUAUGGGCAAGAGCCGGCACCAAAGGGCUCGACAUGAUCAUUCUUGUAACAUAA